rnacentral:rRNA from 1 species
CCUACGGGAGGCAGCAGUGAGGAAUAUUGGUCAAUGGGCGCGAGCCUGAACCAGCCAAGUCGCGUGAAGGAUGACUGCCCUAUGGGUUGUAAACUUCUUUUAUAAAGGAAUAAAGUGAGGCACGUGUGCCUGUUUGUAUGUACUUUAUGAAUAAGGAUCGGCUAACUCCGUGCCAGCAGCCGCGGUAAUACGGAGGAUCCGAGCGUUAUCCGGAUUUAUUGGGUUUAAAGGGUGCGUAGAUGGGUUGUUAAGUUAGUUGUGAAAGUUUGCGGCUCAACCGUAAAAUUGCAAUUGAUACUGGCAGCCUUGAGUGCAGUUGAGGUAGGCGGAAUGCGUGGUGUAGCGGUGAAAUGCUUAGAGAUCACGAAGAACUCCGAUUGCGAAGGCAGCUUACUAAACUGCCACUGACAUUGAUGCUCGAAAGUGUGGGUAUCAAACAGGAUUAGAUACCCGUGUAGUC